GGGCGAUUAGCUCAGUUGGUAGAGCAGGUGACUCUUAAUCACCGGGUCGUAGGUUCGAGCCCUACAUCGCCCACCA
rnacentral:tRNA from 5 species